GAUAGAUGCCUGCACUCAAAUGUAAAAUAUGCAAACAUUCAAGCGAACGUAACUUUUACAUGCACAACUGUAUUUUUCCUCAUCUCAUCCAAAACUAGGAACAUUGGCAUAGGAAGACAGAAACCUCAGCUUUCAGAAUCCAAUAUACGAGGUGAAGAAGCAGUCAACACAACAAAGAAGAAAGGAGGAAAGCAAGUAGAGGAACAAGGAGGCAAAGGUCUUGCUUGACUCAUCUCUGCUGUGGUGACCUUGGAGGCUUCAUAUUCCAGAUUGCACAGCCAUAAGAUGAAAGAAGACUUCUCACUCACAUUAGACUCUGAGGUAUAAAACAACGGAAUUUAAGUGGUGAUGUGUGUCACUUCCAGUCUAGCAGGAGACUAGAACACACAAAGAGACACCAAGGAUGUGCAUGCACAGAAGAAAGACCCUGUGAGGACACAGUGAGAAGGUGACCAUCUGCACACCAAGAAGAGAGGUCUCGGAAGAAGCCAAACCUGCCUUAUCUUGGAAUUCUAGCUUUCAGCACUGUGAGAAAAUAAAAU
rnacentral:lncRNA from 1 species